UUGAUUUAUUUGUUUUUUAUACUCAGAAGUUCCACUAAAAACAGAGUUUAGGGUUCCUGCGGCGGGCCGUCCCUUUUUACGGGGCGCGGGCUGAUCCGCCGAGGCAACAUAAGGUAUGUUCACAGGGGUUUGGGAGUUGUAAACUCGGUAAUGAUCCCUCCGCUGGUUCACCAACGGAGA
rnacentral:misc_RNA from 1 species